AUUCUUAUAGUGUAAAAUAACACCCAAUAAUUUCAAAAUUGAAAUGCUAACAGCUAAGAAUU
rnacentral:tRNA from 1 species